GGCUCAGAACGAACGCUGGCGGCGUGCUUAACACAUGCAAGUCGAACGGGUUCAUGUAGCAAUACUGAUAUAAAGUGGCGGACGGGUGAGUAACACGUAGGUAACCAACCCUCAAGCGGGGGACAACCCAGGGAAACUUGGGCUAAUACCGCAUAAGACCACGGCCUGGGAUGGCUGAGGUAAAAGCUGCACUGUGAGCAAUUCACUUGAGGAUGGGCCUGCGGCCUAUCAGGUAGUUGGUAAGGUAAUGGCUUACCAAGCCUAAGACGGGUAGCCGGACUGAGAGGUUGAACGGCCACACUGGAACUGAGACACGGUCCAGACUCCUACGGGAGGCAGCAGUGGGGAAUUUUGCGCAAUGGGCGAAAGCCUGACGCAGCGACGCCGCGUGGAGGAUGAAGGUUUUCGGAUUGUAAACUCCUUUUAUAGGGGAAGAUGAAGUGGGUAACCACUUUGACGGUACCCUAUGAAUAAGCCACGGCUAACUCUGUGCCAGCAGCCGCGGUAAUACGAAGGUGGCAAGCGUUGUUCGGAUUCACUGGGCGUACAGGGAGCGUAGGCGGUUGGGUAAGCCCUCCGUGAAAUCUCCGGGCCUAACCCGGAAAGUGCAGAGGGGACUGCUCAGCUAGAGGAUGGGAGAGGAGCGCGGAAUUCCCGGUGUAGCGGUGAAAUGCGUAGAGA
rnacentral:rRNA from 1 species